UGGGGAAUUUUGGACAAUGGGCGAAAGCCUGAUCCAGCAAUGCCGCGUGUGUGAAGAAGGCCUUCGGGUUGUAAAGCACUUUUGUCCGGAAAGAAAUCCUUGGCUCUAAUACAGUCGGGGGAUGACGGUACCGGAAGAAUAAGCACCGGCUAACUACGUGCCAGCAGCCGCGGUAAUACGUAGGGUGCAAGCGUUAAUCGGAAUUACUGGGCGUAAAGCGUGCGCAGGCGGUUUGCUAAGGCCGAUGUGAAAUCCCCGGGCUCAACCUGGGAACUGCAUUGGUGACUGGCAGGCUAGAGUAUGGCAGAGGGGGGUAGAAUUCCACGUGUAGCAGUGAAAUGCGUAGAGAUGUGGAGGAAUACCGAUGGCGAAGGCAGCCCCCUGGGCCAAUACUGACGCUCAUGCACGAAAGCGUGGGGAGCAAACAGGAUUAGAUACCCUGGUAGUCCACGCCCUAAACGAUGUCAACUAGUUGUUGGGGAUUCAUUUCCUUAGUAACGUAGCUAACGCGUGAAGUUGACCGCCUGGGGAGUACGGUCGCAAGAUUAAAACUCAAAUGAAUUGACGGGGUCAUAGCUGUUUCCU
rnacentral:rRNA from 1 species